rfam:Desulfobacca sp. RBG_16_58_9 RBG_16_scaffold_48577_curated, whole genome shotgun sequence.
CAACGAUAAAGGCAAACUAUUCCGAAAGGGUAGGACGCAAAGUCUCCGACCUACAGCCACCGGGCCAGGGUAGCGGGAUUGCCGAA